UACGGGGGGGGCAAGCGUUGUUCGGAAUUACUGGGCGUAAAGGGUUCGUAGGUGGCUGGCUAAGCCAGACGUGAAAUCCCUCAGCUUAACUGGGGAACUGCGUCUGGGACUGGUCGGCUUGAGUGCAGGAGAGGAACGCGGAAUUCCAGGUGUAGCGGUGAAAUGCGUAGAUAUCUGGAGGAACACCGGUGGCGAAGGCGGCGUUCUGGACUGCAACUGACACUGAGGAACGAAAGCCAGGGGAGCAAACGGG
rnacentral:rRNA from 1 species